rnacentral:rRNA from 1 species
UACAGAGGGGGCAAGCGUUGUUCGGAAUUACUGGGCGUAAAGGGCGCGUAGGCGGCCUGUUAAGUCGAACGUGAAAUCCCCGGGCUCAACCCGGGAACUGCGUCCGAUACUGGCAGGCUUGAAUCCGGGAGAGGGAUGCGGAAUUCCAGGUGUAGCGGUGAAAUGCGUAGAGAUGUGGAGGAACACCAGUGGCGAAGGCGACUCUUUGGCCUGUAACUGACGCUGAGGCGCGAAAGCGUGGGGAGCAAACAGG